rnacentral:lncRNA from 1 species
UCGAUCCAGGGGCCGCCAAGCGGCGGGGCGGGCACUCUUCCGGCAUCCGCCGCCGCCCCCUUGCCACCACCUACCAAGCCCCUGCAGCCUAGAAACCCGCCACCCGAGAGGCACUACUGCUCAGCCCAGACAGUAGCCGCCGCCGCUGCCGCCGCUGCCGCCGUUGCCGCCGCUGGCUAAGGAAGAGCCAUAUUACCGCAGUGCAACCCCUCCACCCCGCUGAGACCCGGAGCGCUCAUUGGCUUAGCCCUCAAGGGGGCGGGACCCAACGGCAGAAAAGGGGCGUGCUAUUGGGUAGAAGAGAGCCACCACGCAGGAUGCACUGGGACCUGAGAACCGUCGGGCAGUCCCACGAGCUCUUUCAUGACCAGCUCCAACCGACAAGUACACGCCCCUUCGCACUCCACUAGCUAGUAAGCUGAGCUACAAGGUGUGCCAGGCACCCAGGACGCCGAUUCACCGCUUCAGUGAAGGCCCAGCUCAAAUGCCACCUCUUCCAUGAAGACUUCCGUGAUCCACAAUGAUAGCAUCUCCAGCAAUUGCUUCUAUAAUGAAUAGCAUGAGUCAUUCUGCAGGAUGUUGAUCUUCCUUUUUUUACUCCUAGACUGAAUUUUUCCACCACCUGGAUGAACAUAGCAGAAAGAACAUAGUGUUUUAGAGUCAGACACAAUAGGAAUCAGGCACUUUGGAAUCUUGGCUCUACCACCUUUGAGCUAUGUAUCCCAAGUCAAACACCCAUCAGACCUUUGCCAGGUGUCCAGCCUGGGCACUACGUUUCAGAAAAUGAUGCACAUAGAAUCCCUAACUGAAAGGAGAUCGCAGCUCAUUUGGUACAAAGUGCUUUUAGCCUGGGUAAGGAGCUGGAGAGAUGUGAAAAUGUGGAAAGCAAGCCUAAGUCGCAGUGUGGCCUAUGCCUGAGAGCCAUCU